CUUGCUCUCUGAUUCAGCGGCGGACGGGUGAGUAAUGCCUAGGAAUCUGCCUGAUAGUGGGGGACAACGUUUCGAAAGGAACGCUAAUACCGCAUACGUCCUACGGGAGAAAGCAGGGGACCUUCGGGCCUUGCGCUAUCAGAUGAGCCUAGGUCGGAUUAGCUAGUUGGUGAGGUAACGGCUCACCAAGGCGACGAUCCGUAACUGGUCUGAGAGGAUGAUCAGUCACACUGGAACUGAGACACGGUCCAGACUCCUACGGGAGGCAGCAGUGGGGAAUAUUGGACAAUGGGCGAAAGCCUGAUCCAGCCAUGCCGCGUGUGUGAAGAAGGUCUUCGGAUUGUAAAGCACUUUAAGUUGGGAGGAAGGGCAUUAACCUAAUACGUUAGUGUUUUGACGUUACCGACAGAAUAAGCACCGGCUAACUUCGUGCCAGCAGCCGCGGUAAUACGAAGGGUGCAAGCGUUAAUCGGAAUUACUGGGCGUAAAGCGCGCGUAGGUGGUUUGUUAAGUUGAAUGUGAAAGCCCCGGGCUCAACCUGGGAACUGCAUCCAAAACUGGCAAGCUAGAGUAUGGCAGAGGGUGGUGGAAUUUCCUGUGUAGCGGUGAAAUGCGUAGAUAUAGGAAGGAACACCAGUGGCGAAGGCGACCACCUGGGCUAAUACUGACACUGAGGUGCGAAAGCGUGGGGAGCAAACAGGAUUAGAUACCCUGGUAGUCCACGCCGUAAACGAUGUCGACUAGCCGUUGGGAUCCUUGAGAUCUUAGUGGCGCAGCUAACGCAUUAAGUCGACCGCCUGGGGAGUACGGCCGCAAGGUUAAAACUCAAAUGAAUUGACGGGGCCGCACAAGCGGUGGAGCAUGGUGGUUUAAUUCGAAGCACGCGAGACCUUACCAGCCUUGACAUGCAGAGACUUUCAGAGAUGGAUUGGUGC
rnacentral:rRNA from 1 species